rnacentral:rRNA from 1 species
GACGAACGCUGGCGGCGUGCUUAACACAUGCAAGUCGAACGCUGAAGCUCAGCUUUUGUUGGGUGGAUGAGUGGCGAACGGGUGAGUAACACGUGAGUAACCUGCCUCCUUCUUUGGGAUAACGCCCGGAAACGGGUGCUAAUACUGGAUAUUCACUGGUCUUCGCAUGGGGGUUGGUGGAAAGGGUUUUUCUGGUGGGUGAUGGGCUCGCGGCCUAUCAGCUUGUUGGUGGGGUGAUGGCCUACCAAGGCUUUGACGGGUAGCCGGCCUGAGAGGGUGACCGGUCACAUUGGGACGGAGAUAAGGCCCAGACGCCUACGGGAGGCAGCAGUGGGGAAAAUUGCACAAUGGGCGAAAGCCUGAUGCAGCGACGCCGCGUGAGGGAUGGAGGCCUUCGGGUUGUGAACCUCUUUCGCUCAUGGUCAAGCCGCAACAAUGGUUGUGGUGAGGGUAGUGGGUAAAGAAGCGCCGGCUAACUACGUG